UGCACUAUAUAGGGAAUAGUAUGCCAUGGGCCCUGGUAUAAAGUAGUGCACUAUAUAGGGAAUAGUGUGCCAUGGGUCCUGGUCAAAAGUAGUGCACUAUAUAGGGAAUAGGGUGCCACUUGGGAUGCAUAAUCCAAUAUGUAGUUACAGCAAUGUUGGUGUCUUGAUAAUAAAUACUGAUAUGACAUCAUAAACCCUGUAAGGAGUCACUCAUAAUCACUCAAUACAAAUUCUAAGUUGAAUAUGUCACUUUUCAUAUCAGUAGAUAUGUGUAACAUAUCAGUAUAGAUAUGCCUGACAUAUCAGUAUAGAUAUGCCUGACAUAUCAGUAUAGAUAUGCGUGAAUUAUCAGUAUUUUUAUGUGUGACAUAUCAGUAUAGAUAUGCCUGACAUAUCAGUAUAGAUAUGCGUGAAUUAUCAGUAUUUUUAUGUGUGACAUAUCAGUAUAGAUAUGGGUGACAUAUCAGUAUAGAUAUGCCUGACAUAUCAGUAUAGAUAUGCCUGACAUAUCAGUAUAGAUAUGCCUGACAUAUCAGUAUAGAUAUGCCUGACAUAUCAGUAUAGAUAUGCCUGACAUAUCAGUAUAGAUAUGCCUGACAUAUCAGUAUAGAUAUGCGUGACAUAUCAGUAUAGAUAUGCCUGACAUAUCAGUAUAGAUAUGCCUGACAUAUCAGUAUAGAUAUGCGUGACAUAUCAGUAUAGAUAUGCCUGACAUAUCAGUAUAGAUAUGCCUGACAUAUCAGUAUAGAUAUGCGUGACAUAUCAGUAUAGAUAUGCCUGACAUAUCAGUAUAGAUAUGCGUGACAUAUCAGUAUAGAUAUGCCUGACAUAUCAGUAUAGAUAUGCCUGACAUAUCAGUAUAGAUAUGCGUGACAUAUCAGUAUAGAUAUGCGUGACAUAUCAGUAUAGAUAUGCGUGACAUAUCAGUAUAGAUAUGCGUGACAUAUCAGUAUAGAUAUGCCUGACAUUUCAAUAUAGAUAUGGGUGACGAAAACUGUGAGUAUGACAUAUUUUCAAAUGUUCUUGUUGCCCCACGGGGAAUGAGUUGGUUAGGUGGGGUCUGCAGGACCACGGGGAAUGAGUUGGUUAGGUGGGGUCUGCAGGACCACGGGGAAUGAGUUGGUUAGGUGGGGUCUGCAGGACCACGGGGAAUGAGUUGGUUAGGUGGGGUCUGCAGGACCACGGGGAAUGAGUUGGUUAGGUGGGGUCUGCAGGACCACGGGGAAUGAGUUGGUUAGGUGGGGUCUGCAGGGGGUGAUUUUUUCUCUUGCUUUUUCUAUGUUGUACAAUAUAUUAUAUUUAUUAUUUAUUAAUAUCUUUAUUGUAUAAUACACUAUAUUGUUUAGGUUGCUUUCCCAAGUGCUAGCACUCUGAUUCCCACACAGGAACCUCUUGCUACGCAGGGGUUUAUGAAUUCCUGUGCAUUCGUUUAAAUAUAAAAUGAUCUAAUGUCUAUAUAGAACUUGAGAAACUGUAAAUUACUGUUUAAUUAUACCAUGUUUAUUCAUUAAAAUAAACAUUUUGAGAGAAAAUCAA